rnacentral:rRNA from 1 species
AGAGUUUGAUCCUGGCUCAGGACGAACGCUGGCGGCGUGGAUUAGGCAUGCAAGUCGAACGGUAUGGUGCUUUCGGGCAUCAGAGAGUGGCGAACGGGUGAGUAACACGUAGGUUAUCUACCCUCAAGACGGGGACAACCCAGGGAAACUUGGGCUAAUACCGGAUGAAAGCAACCGUGAGGUUGUUUAAAAGAUGGCUUUAAGCUGUCGCUUGGGGAUGAGCCUGCGUCCUAUUAGUUAGUUGGUGAGGUAACGGCUCCCCAAGGCAAUGAUAGGUAGGCGGCCUUAACGGGUGGUCGCCCACACUGGGAUUGAGAAACGGCCCAGACUCCUACGGGAGGCAGCAGUCGAGAAUAGUCUACAAUGGCCGAAAGGCUGAUAGUGCGACGCCGCGUGAACGAGGAAUCCCUUCGGGGUGUAAAGUUCUUUUAUAUGUGAGCAGUGCCGGCUAUAUUAAUAGUAUAGUUGGAGAGAUAUUAGCAUAUGAAUAAGCAACGGCUAACUCCGUGCCAGCAGCCGCGGUAACACGGGGGUUGCAAGCGUUGUCCGGAAUUACUAGGCGUAAAGGGCAGGUAGGCGGAUCAGUAAGUUUGAUGUCAAAUCCAUCGGCUCACCCGAUGAUCGGCAUCAGAUACUGCUGAUCUGGAAUACGGUUGAGGAAGACAGAAUUCCUGGUGUAGCGGUGGAAUGCGCAGAGAUCAGGAGGAAUACCAAAUGCGAAGGCAGUCUUCUAGGCCGUUAUUGACGCUAAACUGCGAAGGUGUGGGGAUCAAACAGGAUUAGAUACCCUGGUAGUCCACACAGUAAA